CCGAAGCAAGCGGGCAGCAGGAGAAGCAGUGGGGCUUGGGAAGGUAGAAGCCUCCCUCGCCAGGCCACGGCAUACCUGGGAGACAGCAGCUAAGUGUGAGAGACAGCAUGAAUGGAUCCUGUACAGCUUCAGAAUACCCACCACAUUGCCUUCCCUCACCCCACCUCCCACCCCAAUUCAUCUCGAUGGAGUCUGGUUUCUUCCUUCCCCUCUCUCUAAUCUGCCUGGUAUGUUGAUGGCCUGGCAGACCUUGUAGAAAAAAGCCUAAACUCCUCAUUUUAAAGAUUUGAACCUGGUUA